rnacentral:rRNA from 1 species
AGGUAAGCUACUAAGAGCGAAUGGUGGAUGCCUUGACUGGUAAAGGCGAUGAAGGACGUACUAGACUGCGAUAAGCUACGGGGAGCUGUCAAGAAGCUUUGAUCCGUAGAUUUCCGAAUGGGGCAACCCAAUGUAUAGAGAUAUACAUUACCUAUAUAGGAGCGAACGAGGGGAAUUGAAACAUCUUAGUACCCUCAGGAAAAGAAAUCAAUAGAGAUUGCGUCAGUAGCGGCGAGCGAAAGCGCAAGAGGGCAAACCCAGUGCUUGCACUGGGGGUUGUAGGACUGCAAUGUGCAAGAGGUAAGUUUAGCAGAACAUUCUGGAAAGUAUAACCAUAGAGGGUGAUAGUCCCGUAUGCGAAAAACAAACCUUAGCUAGCAGUAUCCUGAGUAGGGCGGGACACGAGGAAUCCUGUCUGAAUCCGGGUCGACCACGAUCCAACCCUAAAUACUAAUACCAGAUCGAUAGUGCACAAGUACCGUGAGGGAAAGGUGAAAAGAACUGAGGUGAUCAGAGUGAAAUAGAACCUGAAACCAUUUGCUUACAAUCAUUCAGAGCCCUAUGUAGCAAUACAGGGUGAUGGACUGCCUUUUGCAUAAUGAGCCUGCGAGUUGUGGUGUCUGGCAAGGUUAAGCAAACGCGAAGCCGUAGCGAAAGCGAGUCUGAAUAGGGCGCUUAGUCAGAUGCUGCAGACCCGAAACGAAGUGAUCUAUCCAUGAGCAAGUUGAAGCUAGUGUAAGAACUAGUGGAGGACUGAACCCAUAGGCGUUGAAAAGCCCCGGGAUGACUUGUGGAUAGGGGUGAAAGGCCAAUCAAACUUCGUGAUAGCUGGUUCUCUCCGAAAUAUAUUUAGGUAUAGCGUUGUGUCGUAAUAUAAGGGGGUAGAGCACUGAAUGGGCUAGGGCAUACACCAAUGUACCAAACCCUAUCAAACUCCGAAUACCUUAUAUGUAAUCACAGCAGUCAGGCGGCGAGUGAUAAAAUCCGUCGUCAAGAGGGAAACAACCCAGACUACCAGCUAAGGUCCCUAAAUCUUACUUAAGUGGAAAACGAUGUGAAGUUACUUAAACAACCAGGAGGUUGGCUUAGAAGCAGCCAUCCUUUAAAGAAAGCGUAAUAGCUCACUGGUCUAGUGAUUUUGCGCGGAAAAUAUAACGGGGCUAAAGUAAGUACCGAAGCUGUAGACUUAGUUUACUAAGUGGUAGGAGAGCGUUCUAUUUGCGUCGAAGGUAUACCGGUAAGGAGUGCUGGAGCGAAUAGAAGUGAGCAUGCAGGCAUGAGUAGCGAUAAUUAAUGUGAGAAUCAUUAACGCCGUAAACCCAAGGUUUCCUACGCGAUGCUCGUCAUCGUAGGGUUAGUCGGGUCCUAAGUCGAGUCCGAAAGGGGUAGACGAUGGCAAAUUGGUUAAUAUUCCAAUACCAACAUUAGUGUGCGAUGGAAGGACGCUUAGGGCUAAGGGGGCUAGCGGAUGGAAGUGCUAGUCUAAGGUCGUAGGAGGUUAUACAGGCAAAUCCGUAUAACAAUACUCCGAGAACUGAAAGGCUUUUUGAAGUCUUCGGAUGGAUAGAAGAACCCCUGAUGCCGUCGAGCCAAGAAAAGUUUCUAAGUUUAGCUAAUGUUGCCCGUACCGUAAACCGACACAGGUGGGUGGGAUGAGUAUUCUAAGGCGCGUGGAAGAACUCUCUUUAAGGAACUCUGCAAAAUAGCACCGUAUCUUCGGUAUAAGGUGUGGUUAGCUUUGUAUUAGGAUUUACUCCGAAAGCAAGGAAACUUACAACAAAGAGUCCCUCCCGACUGUUUACCAAAAACACAGCACUCUGCUAACUCGUAAGAGGAUGUAUAGGGUGUGACGCCUGCCCGGUGCUCGAAGGUUA